AUAAUAAUAAUAAUAAAAGAAACCGCCCACAAAAAUCUUGAAUCCCUUGCAGAAGUUGGGUUAAGGCUCAAGAUACUGGAUGCAAACCGCUGCCACGUUCUCCAUUUCAAAGGAAAGGUGUCAGCUCAGGCAGCGAUGUCAAAGGCUGCAAAGUUUGGGCUGCAAAAUCCCACUCCUACCGUUUGCCAUGCUGGCCACAAAGGAACAGAGAGCUGGAUUUGGCUCUGCAAGCUACUCUGCCUUUUCCUCAAGGGAUAUAUACCCCAAGAACUGAGUUGCUUCAUUGAUUCUGUGCAUGGGUAAGCAGCAGUGCCCAUGGGGAGGAGGGGAGAACAGGGAAGAGAAAGCUUUUUUCCCUGUAUUUUCUACCACUAACUGCUCAGUUUGGGUGAAAUAGGAGAGUCACAUCUUUUCCCAACUCUCUGAAGUGAGGGGAACUUUGCUGAGGCCCCAGCUUGAACCGGACCGUGCCCAGAUAUCAUCAGAUCCUGCACAAGAAAAAUAAAGAGCUCAAGUUGCAAAAGAAGAGCGAUGGAGGAGUGAAACUCGAGAGGAGCAUACAGUCCGCUGACAGCUCCCUGCAGCUCAAACCGACCCGUCAGGGCCACAGCAAAGCCUUGGAGCAGCAGCAUUGUGCUCCAGGAAAAUCAGCAUGGUGCAGCCAGGAGGGGAUCAUGCUCAUGCAGAACGAUCUCUGCAGUGGCACCAGAGGAAGAGAUCACACCAUUUGCAAAAGCAAUCUGUGCAGGUGUCCAUUGUCUAGUCUGGGAUUUCACAGGGAAUCUGGUGCCAGGAGCCAUUUGGAUGAUGCCAGACUGCUGAACACAUCCAGCUCAUCAGGUGUCCAAACUCAUCGCUCAAGUUGCCUUCAUUGGGUGUAAAGGACUCCCCACAUUUAAAGUUGGCCAGUUUUGUGGAUGGGAAAAUGCAG
rnacentral:lncRNA from 1 species